UAUAAUCUUCAGGGCAGGGUGAAAUUCCCGAUCGGCGGUAAUACAGCAUAUAAGCUGUUAGCCCGCGAGCGAAAGCAGACCCGGUUUGAUUCCGGGGCCGACAGUAAAGUCUGGAUGGAAGAGGAUGCAU
rnacentral:ncRNA from 2 species